rnacentral:rRNA from 1 species
AGGCCAGCCUGCCAGUGAUCAUUUCAACGGCCGCGGUAUCCUAACCGUGCAAACAAAUCACUUUAACUUAUUCUUUAAAUAGGGACCAGUAUGAAUGGCACCACGAGGACUUUACUGUCUCCUUUUUGUAAUCAGUGAAACUGAUCCCCCCGUGAAAAAGCAGGGAUCCUAUUACAAGACGAGAAGACCCCAUGAAGCUUCAAACUAAAAAGUACAUCUGCUACUACUACAACAUCCUACACCCAGCAAAUGCUAACCCUUAGUUUUUGGUUGGGGUGACCACGGAGUAAAAUAUACCCUCCACAAUGAAAGAACUUAUACCCUAAUUUAAGAACUACAUCUCUAAAAAUCAAUAUAUUGACACACAUGACCCAAAUUAUGACCAUUGAACCAAGUUACUCUGGGGAUAACAGCGCAAUCCAUUUUAAGAGUCCAUAUUGACAAGUGGGUUUACGACCUCGAUGUUGGAUCAAGGUAUCCUAGUGGUGCAACCGCCACUAAGGGCUCGUUUGUUCAACGAUUAAAACCAUACGUGAUCUGAGUUCAGACCGG